CCUACGGGGGGCAGCAGUGGGGGAUAUUGCACAAUGGGGGCAACCCUGAUGCAGCGACGCCGCGUGAGCGAUGAAGUACUUCGGUAUGUAAAGCUCUGUCAGCAGGGAAGAGAAUGACGGUACCUGACCAAGAAGCCACAGCAAAAUACGUGCCAGCAGCCGCGGUAAUACGUAUGGGGCAAGCGUUAUCCGGAUUUACUGGGUGUAAAGGGAGCGUAGGUGGCAUGGUAAGCUAGAAGUGAAAACCCAGGGCUCAACUCUGAGGAUUGCUUUUGGAAC
rnacentral:rRNA from 1 species